rnacentral:lncRNA from 1 species
UCACUUGGUAAUACUUGUGAGUUAGGUUAGGGAAGUGAAAUCUAUUGAGUCUAAGAACUCCUCAAUUUUUGUCACUUUAUCUUCAAUGUUUGACAUGUCACCAUUAUUGGAGGUUAGUUGACCUCCUAGUGAGGUUAGGUGACCGUCCAUCACUUUCAAUGUACGAUUCAUGUCCUCAAUUUUUUCUCAUAUAGAUUUCAACGUGUCAUCUCUCAUGAGAAUUUAAGUUUCUUUCUCUCAAGCCAUUGUACCUAGCAAUUUAAUCACUCUGUAAAGACAACAACAACGUUUGGUUAGUAAAAUAAAGCUCACAAUCACUCAUUUUUACACACCCUUGAUUGCCUCAUAAUUCAAUCGGCUAAUGUUGAAGAUUGCUUAAACUUUGAUAGUACACAAGGUGUCAAUUGCUACUCUUGGUUGGAAUGGAUUCCUGUUGAAUGAAAGAUGGACGAGUCAAUUAUGAACAAACAGGACUUGAUUCAAGAAGUUAACUACAAAAUAAAAUUAGAAAAGCACAAAAAGAAAUAGGCAAUGAAAGAAAAAAAAUUCAAAGAACCAGUUAACCAACUAAGUAGGUGAAUUACUAAUUGUUAAUUAGUUCAGAAACUAAAAAAUGAAACAAGAAAUCAAAAAACAAAACUAAGAUGUAGGAACUUGAGCAAAAUAGAAUUUGAGGUAGUUGAAGUUUGUUUUGGAGGUGUGCAGACGCAUCCCUUGACCUGCCCCCGCAUAAAAAGUUCACAUGGUUCAUCUAUCCACGUAGAUGGGGACGCAGGUGGCCCAGACAGAACACCUGGAAACUCCAUUUUUCACCUUUAUGUGGACCAUUUUGGGUUCUCUUUCCUAGUUUUUUUUUUCUUUUGAGAUAUUCCUUUAUACCAACACUCAAAACACUUUUCUCUAUUAAUUUUUUUUAAAUCUAACAUUUUUGUUGAAAAUUGAUGAAAUUCGAAAUUUAGGCUCUUUUCAUCAUGACAAACACUAUCCAACAACCUUUAGCAUUCAAAUCAUUACCAAAAAUUUCAAUUUUUUCAUCCCACUAACAAAUUCUUCAAUAUUCAAACUCGGAAAAUGGUGAAUUCAAACCUCUUCAAAUUGUACCAACUUUUGAACCUAGGUUCCUUUGAAUGUAAAUGACACUUUUAAUCAAUUUCAACUCUUAAAUUAAACCCAAACUUUGUAGAUCUAAGAACCCACUUUUCAAAUUUCUUCAUACUUCAAGUUCAACAAUGAGAUUUUCUCUGAAUCUACUCAAUCAUCCCAACUCAAAUAACACUACGAAGAAACAAAUAUAGUGUUGAAACCACAAGAAUGCCUCAAAAACACAAAUCUUUUUAGGAUUUUGGACUAAAAUAUUUUGACUUUUUUAUUUUACCUUUUAAGGUAAUAAUCCCAAGACUAGAAUCGCAAGAAUGAAUCUAAGCUUGACUCUGAUACCAAAUGAUAACCCCAAAAGAUCUGAGUCAUAGAAUUUCUCAAUUCUAACUCAAGGUACUUAUUAGAUCAAAUGUAUUUAUUCGAUCUAAUAGAAUAAUUUUGCCGUAUCUAGAAUAAUACCAAUCCAAGCCAUUUCAUGAAUAAAAUGUGAGCAAUUAACCUGCUUUAUCCUUCCCUCAACCUCCCUAGAAAGAGUCCAUUCAUCGUUGUCUUGGGAAAUCUGAAAUGAAAUCGGUUCAAGAACCAACCACAGAAAGUCUAUUCCACCAAUUGAUAUUUCUUGUAUCUAGAUAAGAUGGAACAAACACG